AGUGCAGCCAAGCAGGCCAGGAGGUAGGCUGCCGUGACGAUGCACGAACCAAAGAGACACACAACCACACGGAUGGAUCUGAAACACGUGGUGUUGAUCGAAAGAAGCUGAAAGAAUAGGUCUGCAUGGAAAACAAGCCUUCCUGGUGGAUGUUUUCACAGCUUAUGUGAGGAUUACCAAAUACCAGAUCUCUGCUUACCUGCCUGGAGCUCCCUCUAACAGCACAUGAUUCCUUGCAGGAUGGGUUACCAGAAGGCAGGAUGUAAGAAGUCUCAACGACCAUGCCACAAAUCUGGUGGGAGCCAAGGGAAGCUCCUUGGGAGCUCAGGAGAGCUGCUCCAGGCCCCUCUGUGGUGGAGGCAAAGUUUGGAUCCAAUUCUCAUCCAGGGCAGAAAUG